AGCAUUCCUGAUCAUGGUGCACCUUGGAAUAAACACGAGGCCGGAUGGAGUCAUAACCACAGAGAGACAGAAAUGGAGGAGAAAACAUGAUGAAAGAGUGUCUGGAUUGUAAGAGAACUACAAAUUUCAAAGCUCUAGAAAUUGGAAAAAAGCCAUAUACAUCAGUAUCAACCCAAAAGAUGCAUAAGAAAAGCUGUCUGUGGAUACUUCUUCCCAGUCCAGGAAGUCAGGGUUCACCCCAUCAGUGUUCCUUGUUCCCAAGGAGGAAACUGAGCCCUGAAAAGUUAGUGCUGUCCCCACCCCACUAGCUAAAGGUCUCCGCAUUCCGCCUGCUUCCUCCUUCCAGGUUUCUCAUUCUUUGUUACCUUGCAACUCCUUGAUUGGGCUCUGCCCCUCUAGUAUCUGCUAUAAAGAAAGCCAGUAGAUAACAAGAUAAGAAGAGAUAAGACUGAGGCCAAGAGAGCCAGGUUUUUCUACUCUGGCUUCCUGGUUGGACCCAGAACUACUUCCUUCCCCCCUUUUGCCUUGUGGGCCAAAGGUUAGGAGAACUAUCCCCAGAAUAGGGGAGAAAAGAAGGUGUCUUCUCAAGUACAGAAGCUGUCUAAUUGAACCAGAGAAACCUUCAUUUCUCCACAGUGCUUAAUGCAGCAUCAGACUAACAAUCCCAAACUCAGAGGCAACUGGUGGUUAUAGGAAUCAUCAUCAGGGAUUCUGGUUUAAAAUGUGAACAUCUGGGCCUCACUCCCCACAGAUUCUACUGAGUUAAGUUUAACAUAGGGUCUAGAGAUUUUGUUUAAAUUUACAUAAUUUUUUUUUCAGUGCUGGGGAUCAAACACAGGGCUUCUAUAUGUGCUAAGCAAGCAUUCCACCACUGAGCCACUCUCAGCCCUGAUGGUGGAAAACUGUGCACAGUUUCCAGAUGAGUUCACUGCAUGGCAAUGCGUUGAGAGGUGCAGACUCUGCGCAUGCCCACCUACAAACCCAGUAGGAAAUCGGAUCAGAGCAGCCUCAGAUUCAUUUGGGAAUACUGAGGUCCUCCCUCCUAUGCAUGAUUUUGCUUAAAACUUAAGUGGCACAAAUUUUAAAUUGCACACUGUCUGAUUUAUCCUUCUUGUGACAUGAAUCAUUAAAUUGUCCAGCAUAUCCACACCAGCUAGCUGCCCACUGGUCACAUAAUAAGCAUCUCGGCUAUCAGAUCAACCCAGUGCCAUGAAGCUUAUGUUCAAGUAACCUUAUGGAGUGGCUUAAGGUCACUGCCUUCCAUCUCAUUGGAAGCCAUUGUAUCAUCUCACAUCAUCACAAGAAGGCUAAAAAUAGUACAGUAAGAUAUUUAGAGAGAGAUCAUAAUCACAUAACUUUUAUUAUAGUAUACUGUUAUAAUUCUCUGUUUUAUUAUUGUUAAGCUCUUACUUGCCUAAUUUAUAAAUUAAACUUUAUAGUAUUUAUGAAUAGGAAAAAACGAGUAUAUACAGGGUUUGGCACUAUCUGUAAUUUCAGGCGUCCUCUGGGGAUCUUGAAACAGAUCUCCCAUGGAUAAGGGGGACUUUAUCAGGACGUUUUGGCUGCAACCAGGGAUCUUAAAUAGCUCCUGGAGGAGUAUGUAUUUAAUUCAUAGGAAAUGGGAAGCUCUGGCAGGUUUGUGAGGAGGGGAGUCAUGAGAGAUGAGUUUUAUACAGACAGAAGAUAGAAGAAGAAAG
rnacentral:lncRNA from 1 species